GUGCGUAGUCCAGAGUGGUAAUGCACUCGGCAAACGGCUCAGUAACACGUGGGUAAUCUACCAUCAGGUACAGGGAUAACCCCGGAAAACUGGGGAUAAUGCCUGAUAGGUGGAGAAGUCUGGAACGACUCUCCGCUCAAAUGCUCCGGCGCCUGAUGAUGAGCCUGCGACCGAUUAGGUUGUUGGCGGUGUAAUGGACCACCAAGCCUGAGAUCGGUACGGGUGUUGAGAGACAGUGCCCGGAGAUGGGGACUGAGACACGGCCCCAGGCCCUACGGGGCGCAGCAGGCGCGAAAACUCCGCAAUACACGAAAGUGUGACGGGGGAACCCCAAGUGCGCUCACGCAAGUGAGUGCUUUUGUGAAGUGUAAAUAGCUUUAUGAAUAAAAGCUGGGUAAGACCGGUGCCAGCCGCCGCGGUAACACCGGCAGCUUGAGUGGUGAUCACUAUUAUUGGGCCUAAAGCGUCCGUAGCCUGUUUGGUAAGUCCUUGGGCAAAUCCUGUCGCUUAACGGCAGGAAUUCUGAGGAUACUGUCAGACUUGAGGUCGAGAGAGGUCGGAGGUACUCCUGGGGUAGCGGUGAAAUGCUAUAAUCCUGGGGGGACCACCAGUGGCGAAAGCGUCCGACCAGAGCGAGCCUGACGGUAAGGG
rnacentral:rRNA from 1 species